AGUAGGGAAUAUUGGACAAUGGGUGCGAGCCUGAUCCAGCCAUGCCGCGUGCAGGAAGACGGCCUUCUGGGUUGUAAACUGCUUUUGCCAGGGGAUAAAAAGUCCCUGCGGGGAAAAUUGAAGGUACCUGGUGAAUAAGCCACGGCUAACUACGUGCCAGCAGCCGCGGUAAUACGUAGGUGGCAAGCGUUGUCCGGAUUUAUUGGGUUUAAAGGGUGCGUAGGUUGUUUUGUAAGUCAGUGGUGAAAUCCGGCAGCUCAACUGUCGAUGUGCCAUUGAUACUGCAGAACUUGAGUACAGACGAGGUAGGCGGAAUUGACGGUGUAGCGGUGAAAUGCUUAGAUAUCGUCAAGAACACCGAUAGCGAAGGCAGCUUACUAGACUGUAACUGACACUGAUGCACGAAAGUGUGGGGAUCAAA
rnacentral:rRNA from 1 species